AGGCCACUCCGAAGCCCAGUGAACCACAUGAGCCCGCAGGGACUCUGGGACCAGUCUGAGCACCCAGGGAUAAAGUAGCCAAGAAUAGCAACAGGAUCAGAACAACUGAAUGCUGUGGAGUCUUCAACAUACAGCAGAAACAGGGAAGGCCGUUUUGUGACUGAGAUCAGAAGAGAACUGAGAAAACAUUUUCUAUUAACCUAAGGAACAGAGCAAAUUCAUCCUCAGAGGAUAAAGAAGUUCAGGAACAAAGACACAAUCCUUCAAAACAUCAUCCCGCUGUCUCCUUGCCAAGCAGCCACUCAAGAAGCCUACCCCCCUGGACAAGAUGGUAACAGUUUGCUGUGCUCUCUGCAACGUCUGCCCAUCUGUGGUACCCACAGAAUGGACAGAUAGUAGUUCAGGUAGCCCCCUUGUUUGAACUCAGGAUGCCUCUGAUGAUGGCACUUGUCUUGGCCGUGGUCUUCAUGGGCCACUCCCCUAACAUGGCAGCACCUACAGGUGUGACAGAUGAUGAAGCUUUUGACCUUGAAAACUACAGCCUGAACAGUGAGAUGGACUGGGAGAACCUAGACGUCAACAUCUACGGAGACAGUUAUGAUUAUGAUGACUUGGACCAAGAG